GAUGAACGCUGGCGGCGUGCCUAAUACAUGCAAGUCGAGCGAACAGAUGAGGAGCUUGCUCCUCUGACGUUAGCGGCGGACGGGUGAGUAACACGUGGAUAACCUACCUAUAAGACUGGGAUAACUUCGGGAAACCGGAGCUAAUACCGGAUAAUAUAUUGAACCGCAUGGUUCAAUAGUGAAAGUCGGUUUUGCUGUCACUUAUAGAUGGAUCCGCGCCGCAUUAGCUAGUUGGUAAGUUAACGGCUUACCAAGGCAACGAUGCGUAGCCGACCUGAGAGAGGGAUAGGCCACACUGGAACGGAGACACGGUCCAGGCUCCUACGAGAGGCAGCAGAAGGGAAUCUGCCGCAAUGGGCGAAAGCCUGACGGAGCAACGCCGCGUGAGUGAUAAAGGUCUUCGGAUCGUAAAACUCUGUUAUUAGGGAAGAACAAAUGUGUAAGUAACUAUGCACGUCUUGACGGUACCUAAUCAGAAAGCCACGGCUAACUACGUG
rnacentral:rRNA from 1 species